UACGUAGGGUGCGAGCGUUAAUCGGAAUUACUGGGCGUAAAGCGUGCGCAGGCGGUUUUGUAAGACAGGCGUGAAAUCCCCGAGCUCAACUUGGGAAUUGCGCUUGUGACUGCAUCGCUGGAGUGCGGCAGAGGGGGAUGGAAUUCCGCGUGUAGCAGUGAAAUGCGUAGAUAUGCGGAGGGAACACCGAUGGCGAAGGCAAUCCCCCUGGGCCAACACUGACGCUCAUGCACGAAAGCGUGGGGAGCAAACAGG
rnacentral:rRNA from 1 species